rnacentral:rRNA from 1 species
UACGGAGGGGGCAAGCGUUGUCCGGAAUCAUUGGGCGUAAAGCGCGUGUAGGCGGCUCGGUAAGUCCGCUGUGAAAGCCCGGGGCUCAACCCCGGGAGGCGGGUGGAUACUGCUGAGCUCGAGUCCGGAAGAGGAGUGUGGAAUUCCUGGUGUAGCGGUGAAAUGCGCAGAUAUCAGGAGGAACACCAAUGGCGAAGGCAGCACUCUGGGACGGUACUGACGCUGAGACGCGAAAGCGUGGGGAGCAAACAGG